rnacentral:rRNA from 1 species
AUGAGGAUGCCUAAUCCAAGGGAAGUAGAUCGGGCUUUGUUUGUGGAAAAUGUGAGGCUGAAACAAUGCAAUGUCAGUGUUAGAUUCUCCCCCUGGUCCGAGGACAUUGAUUCUGAUGGAUUAUUGGAGGUCGCAUGGGUUAGGAUUGGGAGAAUCCCUCCUAAAAAAAGAUGUGAUAAGACUAUUGCUUAUGUUGGGGGCCUGGUAGGAAUCACUUUGGAGGUGGAUAUGUCUACCAUUAAUCGUCCUUCGUCGGUUCAAGCCAAGAUUGGAUGUUGGAUGGUGGAUAAAAUACCCAGCUCAGCUGAGGGGGUGCUGGGGGUUGUUUUUACAAAUUUACUUAUGAGGUUGAAGAGAUUCUGGUCAAAACCCCUGCUGUGGAGGAUGCUAAUGCUCAUAUCUCUGGCAACGAACCUGCUAAGCAUGACCAAACUCCAAAAAGAAAACGAGAUGACCCGAAAGAUAGUGACGGUCGCUCAGAUUCUCCUGAUCGUGGGAAAGGUGGUACUUCUCAUGGUGGUAAAACCUGUUGUUUGCUACCAGUUGAGAAUGAGAUCUCUGCCUCAUCUGAAAGUGAGGUAG